rnacentral:rRNA from 1 species
GAUGAACGCUGGCGGCGUGCCUAAUACAUGCAAGUCGAGCGAACGGACGAGAAGCUUGCUUCUCUGAUGUUAGCGGCGGACGGGUGAGUAACACGUGGAUAACCUACCUAUAAGACUGGGAUAACUUCGGGAAACCGGAGCUCAUACCGGAUAAUAUUUUGAACCGCAUGGUUCAAAAGUGAAAGACGGACUUGCUGUCACUUAUAGAUGGAUCCGAGCUGCAUUAGCUAGUUGGUAAGGUAACGGCUUACCAAGGCAACGAUGCAUAGCCGACCUGAGAGGGUGAUCGGCCACACGGGAACUGAGACACGGUCCAGACUCCUACGGGAGGCAGCAGUAGGGAAUCUUCCGCAAUGGGCGAAAGCCUGACGGAGCAACGCCGCGUGAGUGAUGAAGGUCUUCGGAUCGUAAAACUCUGUUAUUAGGGAAGAACAUAUGUGUAAGUAACUGUGCACAUCUUGACGGUACCUAAUCAGAAAGCCACGGCUAACUACGUG